UAAAAACGGCUGAACCGUCUCACCAUUGAGUUUAUUAUGAAGGAGAGUGAUCGUAUUUAUACACACAUGUUAAAUACACUCAAUGUUAAAGUAAGUUACAGAAAGGUAAAUUCCCUUACGAGACAACUGUGUAAUAAUAUUUAGUAUGUAAUAUGUAUAUGUAUGUACGUAUCAUCACCGAGGACGCCAACUUCUGCUCAAUAAACUACUCCGUCUUUUUACUUUGACACAAUCACAUGGAUUUUUAGUCUCCGAUUCUAAAUACUAAAUAUUUUUUAUAAAUAAUUUUAAGAAAAACUCCCUGUUUCAGGGAUGAACUUGAACUAUUUUAUCUAGUAGAGAUCUUCGUUUAUCAAAUUUACCAAUUUGUAAAGCCUGAUGAAAGAUUAUGAAACCGGUCGCCACUGCAAAUUUACUCCAAUAAACAAAUCUUUCCAUUAGUUUGAAGUGCUUUAUUUCAUUCAACAAGUUGAAAUUUUUACCGUGUACAUCUUGGACAAAGUUAGGAAGCGGGUUCGAAUAUGGGCGAAAUCGGUCAAGUGGUGGACCGGUUGGGGUCAUGUGAGUAUUUGGGAUCAAAUUUCGAAAUUGUCGUAGAAAGCUGAAAUUUUGUACAGAGAGACUUCAGCAAGGAUCUCAUGCGAGAACCGGAGUUGUAUGAAAAUGAUGGACCCUUUUGUUGGCUUGAGCUUUGUUCGCUGCUUUGAAAGAAGUGAUCUCUCUGGAACUGAACGUACGACCAGAAACCUUUUACGGGAAGGGUGGAUGUCACAACUGACGCUAGAGGUCGAAUGCCGUACUACUUUUUGUAUGCAGUUAGACUCAUAGAAUCUUCUAUCUAGCGAUAUUUUGAAGUUACAUGGAAUGUAACACGAUUGUUUAUUUAUACCACAAAAAUUAAAAUAAACGAGUAACCCUUGAGGUCCACAAUACAGUCAAAAGUACGAGCGACAAGAAACAUUUGAAAUAUAAGAUAUAAAUAUUACAAAAUUAUCAUUGUUCGAAACUUGCAACUGCCCCUAAAUUAGCGUGAUUUGCCAUAUAAAUUUUAAAACAUCGAAUCUACCACGAUAUGGAGGGCUAUAAAUACGACGAAGAGGGUGAGGAAAUCUUGCAAAGAAAUAAUUAACUGUCGAGUCGUUUCUAUUAUUUGUUCGUGCUUUCCUCCGGAGGAAAUUGGAGGGUGAGUGGUACGAAGUAACGAAGAGCUAAGCUUGGCCAGAUUUAAUGACCCAGAAGGGAUUUCAUAUUGAUCGAAAUUGAGAGAGCAGAGUGAAAACUGGUUCAAUUUACUACCAACUCAACGCAUCCUUCUCUCCUACUUUUGUAUGCACAUCUCCACUCUCUCUAAAUCUGAACAAAUUGCAACAAGCUUGGAUUUGAAUGAAUCACACGCAAUAAUAAUUCAGUCCGUGUAGCUCUGUUUGAUUUGUUUGGGAAUAUUUGGGAUCUGUUACGGUCGUUUUAAACUCUGAGAUAGAAAUGCCUUCCAGGCUUGUACAAAUAUAUUAUGGGGUCGGAAUCUCGGAAUGAGUGAUGUCUCAGUCCUGAUUAUGACAAUUUAUUUACAAGGGAAAUUGACAUCGUCAUCGCUUAAUGAUUUAUUAGAGGGUGAGCCAUAUUAUGGGAACUUUAUGUAAGUCUGUCCACGCUUGACGCUAUAACUAACUUUGCAACGUAUUAACUAUUUAAACUUGGUUUUAACGAAGGUAAAUGUAAGAAUAACCUGUCGGGUACACCCCCGACGACCCAUUAAAUCUGCAUAUUUAAGGAUAAGACGAAUAAAUUGCUGAAAAUGAGUACUCGACGUCCGUGACUUUCUCUAGCGAGUUUCAUGUCAAAGGUUGAAGUCGUCAUCAUCAGAAUUCUGUGAACUGUUAUCAUCCUUACAUUACAUUUUGGGAGGUUUUAUUUCCCCUGCGUGUGUGGGGGAUGCAUACGAUACGUACGUAAGGUCACUGAAUAAAAGACGAAGAAACGAAACCCUGUAUUUAGCCAACUGAUAAGAUAUCGACUAAUUAGGCGCAUAAAUCUCAAGUAGCAUAUAUUUCUUAAUCGAAACAAAAGUAUGAAAAUUCCAGCAGACCCCAAAUGAACCAAGACUUGAACUUGGUAAAUGCCUGCCAACUCCAAAUUAGUCCUGUAAUCACCGAAUCUUUAAAAAAGUUUGAGAUACGUACAACAUAAAAACCACACACGACCAACCCUCUUGUUCUUCUGUGAAACCUCUUUAAUUUCAAGUUGGAAAAUUAAUUAAGGUAAAGUAACAAAAAAACUCAUCAAGUCAUAGAAGCAAGUAAGGCAGCGAAACGGGUUGAAAGUCAAAAUCUUUCUCUUUUUUACGAAAAAAAACAGUAAAGCUAAAUCAGUAAGGUAUCAGCAGCAUCUUGUUUAAAAACUUUCAAUACAUUGCUCUUUAAAAGUUUGUGCAGGGCACAAAGAAAGCUUUAUUCAUUGCACCAUAGAACGGAUUUAAUGAAAGGGAAAGCCAUAUGGUCCAUUAGAAAUUAGUGUUUAGAUUAGAAAGAUGAUGGAAAGAAAUGCUUUCAUUUGGAAGGAAAAUUGAGACAGGGGUUUGGUUUGGUGCAUUUGCUGCCUUUCUUUUUCUCUAAUAUGUACGAGGGCACACAAUAAAAGUGCACAAAUCUCUGUCAAAAUGGAUUCGCUUUCAUUUCACCGCUGCUCUUGUGACCCUGCAAUCAUUUAAGUAAUGAAUGGAUCUAAUAGGAAAUGUUUUACUUUCUUUAAUGAAACCACACUCGCUAGUUAAUUAUCGAAGCAGGUUAAAGUUUCAGGUAAUUAUUAAAUGGUGAAUUUAAAAAUCUUCUUGUUCAGUUUGUAUUGGCAGAAGCUAUUGUAUUUUGCAUAUAUCUCACUAUAUGUAGAAUAAUUGUAAACUGUUUAAAAAUAAUUAAAAUUAACUGAAACCAAUGCAACUUCCUUAAAAAAUUAUGUCAUUGCAAAAAGGUACUUGACCCUUGUUCACAAGUCGUCUGUGAAUUCAUCAAAUUAUGAUUUUGUGUAUUCAAUUUUUGUUUUUUAUAAAAAAACGAAUGUUGUAUUAAU